GAUGAUGGAUAUGGAUAAGCCGGGAAUAAAAUGUCCUCCUGGUUCUCGUCAUACUACUCAUUGCCGUUCCAGCAUCAAACCCCAUUCCAAAAGCUCCAUGUGCUUUUAAUGAUCGUUUCUGUUAUGAAGAAUAAUGUCUUACUACCUUGAUUUCAUGGGAAGUCGAGGUAAAGAUUGCUCAUGAAUUUCAUAUAAUUUUGAGUGUACGUGAGACAUAUAUAAUUCUUAAGUUUAUGUGCUGGUGUUGUACUUGAAAUAAAGAAGAGGCCUCCUAGCUUCUUUAUUAAUUAAUUUAUUAAUUAAUCAAUACAGUUA